rnacentral:sRNA from 1 species
UUAUUCAUUAAAAUAACGUGUGCAUAAUCAAAAUCGGGAUUAUUCUGAUGAAAUAGAUAGUUAAAUUUUAUAGCAAACUAAAAUCUAU